rnacentral:rRNA from 1 species
GAUGAACGCUGGCGGCGUGCCUAAUACAUGCAAGUCGAGCGAACAGACGAGGAGCUUGCUCCUCUGACGUUAGCGGCGGACGGGUGAGUAACACGUGGAUAACCUACCUAUAAGACUGGGAUAACUUCGGGAAACCGGAGCUAAUACCGGAUAACAUGUUGAACCGCAUGGUUCAACAGUGAAAGACGGUCUUGCUGUCACUUAUAGAUGGAUCCGCGCCGCAUUAGUUAGUUGGUAAGGUAACGGCUUACCAAGGCAACGAUGCGUAGCCGACCUGAGAGGGUGAUCGGCCACACUGGAACUGAGACACGGUCCAGACUCCUACGGGAGGCAGCAGUAGGGAAUCUUCCGCAAUGGGCGAAGGCCUGAUGGAGCAACGCCGCGUGAGUGAUGAAGGUCUUCGGAUCGUAAAACUCUGUUAUUAGGGAAGAACAAAUGUGUAAGUAACUAUGCACGUCUUGACGGUACCUAAUCAGAAAGCCACGGCUAACUACGUG